AUUAAAUUGUUCCCAUUUAGAUUCUUAUUAAAUUGUUCUAGUUAAUUUAAUUGGUGAUGAUUAGUUUUAAGGUAAUUUCACUCACUGCCUAUGAUUUGCAAUGGAAAAACUUAAAUGCUUUUAACCGGUAGAUUGGAAAAGGGUGUUUUUUUCCACUUCUCUUUCUCUCUCUUUCUCAUUCUGGAUAUUUAUCAUGUGCAAAGGAAAAUCAAUUGAUUAUGAAUCGUGGUAUUCAUCUUUUUCAUCUUUCUCCAACGAACUGGGUCAUAUAAGCUGAUUAGAAAAGACUGAAUAUCGAUUUGAUGAUUUUCCAUGAGGAACCGCAAACAAAUUCAAAUGAACAAUGUACAUCAACCUGAACAAUAUUCCAAUUUAACUGUUAAAUAUUUGGCCUCGUUUAUGUUUAAGGACAUUAACCAUUUAUUCAAUUUUCCAAUUGUAAUCGCAAGUUUGUCUGGUUGAUUAUUCUACUCCUUUUCUAUUGCCUUGGUUUACCCACUCAUCGCCAUUUUCUCAGCUAAAUACUAAUAUCUCUCUCUCUCUCCCUCUCUUAGCAAUUAGUUAAUAACUAUUACAGACAUGUAAAUCUAUUACCCUUCAUGUACAAUUAACUGGCGUGGUAUCCAUGAUGGUUAAUCAUAAUUACGAGAGGUAAAUAAGUUGUUGUUACAACAUUAAUUUGGAAAACAUUACCAGGAUAAACAAAAGGAAAGGUGAUAAUGGAAAAAAUCAUGACAAUCACUCAAUCAUCAAGUCCAAAUCCAACAAGAAACAAGUCACAAUUAAAUGUUAUGAUCUCCAUUGAGGAAAUACGAAACAAUUUGGAUAACUUUCAAUGACAUUUUAAAGUAAAUAAUUAAACUACAACCAGUUUUCUCUGAACGUCAUCGUUAUUACCACGAUGAUGAUGAUGAUUAUCAUCUUCUCCAUUAUCUGUUCAGGAAAAUGGGAAUAGAAAAGGUAAUUUGAUUUGGUUCAAUUGUGACAAUCAAUCCAAAGAAUCAGCUAAUCAGUAAAAUGAUUUCUUUUGUUUUUGUUACACUCAAUUGGCUCAAUCAAUUUAAACAAUCAUUUAAAUUAGUUCAAGUGUAACUAUUGUUAAAAGUAAAUAAUCAAUAUGGAUUAGGUUUCUAGACGAGAAAAAGGAUGACAACAAAAUUCUGGUUCCAAAUCAUCUCAUGUUCAUCGUCAUCCAACCAAAUGGCAUCAUCAUGAUACCAGAAAUCAGAUGAUAUCGAUGAUAAAGUUCCCAAACGCCAACUCAUUCAUGAAGAAAGAGGCAAAGAAUUGAGAGAGAGAAAGAGAAAGUAACGAUCAUGGAUGAUGAUUAGUCUAAUGGAAAUUAGUAAAACACUUACAAUUCUGUUGAGUAAUUAAAAUAAUUACGAAUUUCAGAGAAAAAGAUAUUGAUGGUUAAUAUGAUGAACAGUUUCAGCUUUUGAGAGAGAUAUAUACAGAAAUUACCACUACACCUCAACUAUCAUCAUCAUCAUCCACUUUGUUUUCUCGGCUCAGUGAAUAUCAACAUAGAGCUCAUGCUCUUCGCCUCUACGGUUAAGUUAAUGAGUUGAAGAUAAUGUAACUACUACUGAAAAAAAGGAAGGAUAAACUGAUGAAGAGAAAGAGACACGAAUACAGAGAAAGUGGAAUGAUACGUCACUGGAAUUGGAUUAAAUGUUGGAAAGAAGGAAUUUUGAUUAUCAUCAUUUCGAAAGCAUUCACAGUAACAUGAUGUAGAAUCAUGGAGCAAGGAGACAACUACUAUAUGUUGGUUACCAAUAAAGGUCACUGUCAUUAACCUAAAAAAAGUGAUAAUCACAACAGAAGAGGAUCAACAUGCAAAAAAAAACAAGAGAAAAGUCAAAAAUUAUUGUUACCCCGCCAAGUUUGACUUUUUUGUUCACAAAAAUAACAAUCAUCAUGCUAAUAAUACAUUCAAUUGCUGUGAUAAUUAUGCUAAUAUGUAAAAGUAGUUGAAUGUUAAUUUUUGUGUCUGCUGAUGGCCAAAUGAUUUAAUGAAAGUGAAAGUUACUCAUAGUGAGAGAGAGAGACAGAAUGUCAAUAUUAUGCUAAUUUUUCUCGAUUAAUUCUGCUAAUCUGAUGAAUUCUAUUUCAAUUAAUCCGCUGUGUUAGUAUGUUUAUGGAACUUUUAUCUCAAAUUCUGCUGUAAUUGCAACAAAGUGCUACGAAUAAUUAUGAUAACCAAACUUUCAUCUUUUCUCUUCCCCUACUCCCGCUGUAUUCGUUUCUCUAUGUGGCUCUCUCUCUCUCUCACUCAUUCAUUCUCUCUAUGUGUGUGUGUAUUUAACCUUCGAUUGAUUCAAUAGAACAAUUCAAUUCCACCCAUUUCUAUUUACCAUUUCAAUGCCAUUCUAUGAUUAUGAUUCUUUCUUUUUUCUCUUCCUUUUCUCAUUAUUCUAACUACUUUUUUUACUUCUUCUUUUCAGACUAAACAUCAUCUUGUUAUAUAUUAUUUUAUAUUUUUUUUCGAAAUAGAUGAAGGAGAAAAAUGAACAUUUCCUAUUUCCAUGGAGCUUAUUGUCGAAAUUAUCAUGAAGAUAUCAAUGGAUUCGGUGGUUUGAUUCAAUUGAAUGGAAAGUAAUGAUUACUCAAUGUAAAGAAGUGAACGUCAUGAUUGAAUCAACGGAGAAACAAAAAGUUCUGCUUGAUCGAUAUAAGUUUUAAUUGUCAACCAAAUGAAACAAUUUAAAGUGAAAUCAGUAGAAAUGAUGGUAAAACAAUCAAUUGAUGAUAAAAUUGUGUGUGAGAGAGAGAGAGGAAAAUGUCACAUUGUCAAAGUUGUAAACAGAAUCAAAGAAUAGUUUAUUUUGAUGAUUGUUAAUUUGAUUGAACAUUCAACAAGCUGAUUCAAUGAUUUACAAUUAAUCAAAUAUCGUUGUCGUAGUUAAAUAUCAUCUGAAUUAAAAGGGCAUUAGACUCUUGGUUAAUUUUUCCUUGAAUUGUAAUCAAAAAUAAUCAUCAACAUGUCGAUGUUAAUCAUUGUGAUGAUGAUGACGAUUAAUUUUGAUUGUUAAUUGUGCUAAGAUGGAAACACAAUUGUAUUAACAAUUAUGUUAUUAUUUUUUUCUGUGUCUUGAUUUGCUUGAUUUUUAAUUUUCUACUAUUGUAAAAAAUUAGUCAACAGUAAAUAUUAACUAGUCAACUAAUCAACUAAUUAUAUAAUCAAAAUGAAAUUAUAAUGAAAAACAAUUGAUAGUUUUUCUUGAAAGUUUUCAUUUGAUUUGUUGACAAUUAACAAUCAAUGAUUUGGUUGUUUUUCUGAACCAACAAAAGGCCAACGUACUUAAUUAAUCAUUGUCAUCAUCAUCAUUAGUUAUUAUUAAUUGUCUAGUAAACAAUUAAACCUUGAAUUAAUCAUUAAUUAUUGUCAAUUAUCGUCAUCAUCGUUAAAUUAUCAAUUGAUUAAUCUAUUUUUUUUUCUCUCUCUUCUAGAUAUUAAUUGUUGAGAAUCAAAUCAAACAUGGAAAGGAUUUAAAUUAAUCAAUAAUCACCAUUUUGAUAGAUAAUUAAAUUGAUCAAUUAACAAUAUAAACGUAAUCAGGAUGAUUCUUGAUUGUUAAUUGAUUGUUGAUUGCAAAGUCUUUGACUGUUAAUUGUAUACCAAUAGGUGAGUUAAUUGGUAUAAAAGUCAACCAAUUAAACAUCUUGACAAUUAACCAGGUUAUGAUGUUAUUAUAAACUACAACAAUUUGUUAAUUGUUUAAACAUUGUAUCGAGUGAUACAAUUAAUAAUCUCAACGUAAUCUUUAAUUACUAUUAAAUUUGAUUAGGGUUAAUAAACCUUGCGUUCAAUUGAACCCAAGGCUUUUAAAGGUUUAAUCAUGUUUUAAUAAUUAUCAACAUGAUAAAACUAAAUAGUUAAUUGUGAUUAAUUUUUAAUCAUGAAAAUGUUGCUGAUCCCUAGUAAAUCAUUAACCACACCAAAGAGAAAUCAAAAAUUGUUUCUAAUCUAUUCUUGAUUAGUUGAUUUAGUUGAUUGGUUGAUUGCCAAGUGUGUUUCAAGGUUUACAGGCAAUUUACCAGAAGUGUAAAUUAUUCAAAAUUUAGCCUAAUCAACAAUUAAAUUUGAUUGUUAAUCCGUUGAAACAAUUUUCCAUUAACUAAAGAAACAAAAAACUUAAUCAUUGAAAACGUUUUCUCAAAGGUUAAUUAUCAAGUAUUAAAUCAACUUAUUCCAAUGAAACAAUUAAACACUGAUUACAGUUGAUUAUUGUUAAGGAGGUUUUUUCUAAUUGUCAUUAACUGAUCACAAUUAACCUUUGUAAUUAGCACAGUUAAUUUGAUUUGAUUUGAUUUUUACUCUUCUCCCAUUGAAACAAUGUAAUAAUAUAACAAUAACUGUAAAUGAUAAUCAUUAUUAUAACUAUGAUUAAGUGAAUUCAAUGAACCCUUUGCAAUUAAUUGAUUAGAAUUGAUAAAUUGUUGGUUAAUUGUGAAAAAAAGUGAGUUAAUUGUGAAAAGUUAACUACAACUUCUCAUUAUCUCUCCAAUGUAACCUUAUAUUGAGAUACAUUGGUUAAUGAUGAUUAAAGUUAAUUUGCCAAAUUGUUUUGCCAAAACGGGAUCAUAAUGUUAAUGAUAAUGAUCAAAGUUGAUGAUGAAAUUAAAGAUUAACUCGAGAAAAAAAGUUCUAACUCUUUAAAUCUUAAUCUUUAAUCCGUUCUCAACAUCAUCAACCCAAUGAUCAAGGUUAAUUUUCAUUCAACUGUAUAUUUGUUUUCUUAUCAUCUUAAUCUUCAUCAAUUUCAUCAUCAUAAUCAUCAUCAUCAACUGAUUCAGUUCAGUUCUUAUGACAAUUAUUGGACCACAAUUGUUGCCAAAUUUUUGUCACUUUAAUCAUGUUAAUCUCAUGAGAGAGAUGAUCUUGUUUCCUAAUCCCUGAUGAUUAUCUGAAUCACUUGAAUGUCAAUUGUUUGUUAAUUUCAGGUGAUUGAAAAUUUAAUUGCUCAAUAUUUUUCUGUUAAUUGUUAUCAUUUUAUAUUGAACAAUUUAUCCAAUGAUUAAAAGCACAAUCAACUGCGUCAUGAUCUCGACCUUAAUUAACAAUUUAUGUCAGUUCAUAAUCAAUUAUCGGGUUAAUUUAAUUAUAUCAACUAGUUAAUUCUCAGAUAAUUAACAUUCACAUUUAUCAAUCUCUCAGUGUCUAUCGUUAAUUGUGAUUAGUGUUACAGUCAAGAUUAAUUGUUAUAAAUAUCGUAUAUUAGGAAAGAGGUAAAAGAUUAAUAAUCUUUAAUCAUGAUGAUGAUAAUUUACUUUCAAUAGGUUAACAAUUAACAAGUUUGAUUUUCAAGUAAUCAAAGGAAAUCUCAAUUGUUACAAUCAAACAAUCAUUGAUUAAUGUUAAUCAACACUUGAUUAAAACUCUAAUCAGGUAAUUGAGAGAGCAACAAAAAAAACUGAUCGAUUCUAAUUAACUAAUUGUCAUUUGGGUUUCUUACUAAAUUGUUUGAUUACAAUUAAUUUCUGCUAUUACAUUUAAUUAGGAGAAAGUAAUUUAAUGAAAAAAGUAACAUUGUUUCUGGAUUGUUGUUGAUUGUUAAUGAAAAGUAUCAAAUAUAAUUGACAAUCAAUUGAUGAUGAUGAUGAAUCAUCCAUAAUGCAACCUAAUAACAAUCAACUAAUCAACAAUUAAAUGCUAAUAUUAACCAUGAUAUGAGAUUGAUAUUCAAUUGAUGAUAAUAAAUGAAACAUAUUGUACAAUCAAAUUGAAUUAGUAUUGUUAUAUUAAACUGAAGGUCGGAUGUGAUUUGAUUACUUUAAUUGAAAUUAACAAUCAAUAAAAUACAUACAAUAAGUUGAUUGACCGAUAAUCAAAUUUGAUUAUCGGUCAAUAAAUUUAAAUAAUCAAAUCUCUAGUUUGCCACCACAAUAAACUAGAUGAUAUAUUUACAUGAGCAAUAUGAGUAAGUUAAUUGUUACCAGUGAUUUACAAUUGAAAUUAAAGUGAAAUUAUUUUACACAAUUAACCAACUUUUCAUCAUUUGAUCAACUUAAUUCCUAAUCAAGUUGCUCUCUCCUCCUACUCUUAAUUGUUUCAUUGAUUGUUAUUGUUAUUAUUAUUUACUAAUCACCAAAAGCAUCAUCAAUAAACAACAGCAAGAAAAAAAAUCAAAUCAUUUCCAGGACAAUUAGUUAACUACAAUUACAAUUACAAAGUUACUGUUGUUGGAUCUCAAUGUGAACCUAAUAAAAUUCAACAGGUAAUAAAGGAUCAGGUGAAAAUUAACUGAUUCGUUGUACAGAUUCAAUGAGCUCAA